rnacentral:rRNA from 1 species
UACGUAGGGGGCAAGCGUUGUCCGGAUUUAUUGGGCGUAAAGCGCGUGUAGGCGGCCUGGAAGGUCCGUUGUGAAAACCCGAGGCUCAACCUCGAGACGUCGAUGGAAACCCCCAGGCUAGAGUCCGGAAGAGGAGAGUGGAAUUCCCGGUGUAGCGGUGAAAUGCGCAGAUAUCGGGAAGAACACCCGUGGCGAAGGCGGCUCUCUGGGCCUUACCUGACGCUGAGGCGCGAAAGCUAGGGGAGCGAACAGG